AUGCUGCGCGAGAAACGAAAAAAUGAGUCGGUCUCUCAGGAGCUUCGGCCCAGGUAUGAAUAUGCAGCACCGCAUUAUACCCUGGGCAGAUGAUGGACUUGUGCUCUAUAAUCACUAUCUGUCAAAAUAAAAACAAAAGAAAAGCCUCAGAACUAUCUUCAAUGCUCUAAAGUAUACUGUAGCUGUCUUCAGACAAUCCAGAAGAGCUCGUUACAGAUGACUGUGAGCCAUCAUGUGGUUGCUGAGGUUUGAACUCAGGACGACCUUCAGGAGCAGCCGGUGCUCUUAACCGCUGAAUCAUCUCUCCAGCCCCUACCUGGUAAAUUUUUACAGCAUCUUGGAACUGUGAGAUACUAUAGUUGUAAUGUACAAAUGAGUCCCUCUGAUACAGGUCAUGUGGCAUGUCACAAAUACUCAGGACAAAGGCACUGAAAUUAAGUUUUAACAACCAUGAAGAUGAUCUUUACCUGAGCAUCAAAUGUGCGUCCAGAAUGACAAAGAUUAUUAAGAUCACAAAGGAUGAAUCCUGGAAGAAUCUCUUCCUCUUCAAUUCCUUUCAGUCUGAU
rnacentral:lncRNA from 7 species